rfam:Schistosoma rodhaini strain Burundi genome assembly, scaffold: SROB_scaffold0008926
GCACUACUGAAGAGUUCUACAAUAGGACGAAAUGGUCGUCCAGUGU